AUGUUACCCUAUUUAAGCCAACAAUUUUCUUUCGGCAUCUGCACAAAUUUACAACAUGCGGGAAUCGAACAUGUAACCUCUGGCUCUGAUACUAUUUGUCGGAUCGUUGGUGCUAACCAUUAAUUUCAAAAUUUUGAACUGUUGGAAAUACACAAUCAAUUCACUUAUAGUACAAUGCCCUCGAAUUUCGAUUGUGGCUAGGCUCAUCCAGUCUCAUGCCACUUCGAACAAGACUCGACCCAACUCAUACUCACACUAUUUCGAAUAUGACAAGACCCAACUUGACCUUCCACCACAGGACAAGAUACUGACCCAUUUAAGCUAACACUCCACUCUCCUACAAAUAAUAUGUUAUAUA
rnacentral:lncRNA from 1 species